rnacentral:rRNA from 1 species
GGUAGUCCACGCCCUAAACGAUGAUCACUCGAUGUUGGCGAUACACAGUCAGCGUCUAAGGGAAACCAUUAAGUGAUCCACCUGGGGAGUACGGUCGCAAGACUGAAACUCAAAGGAAUUGACGGGGGCCCGCACAAGCGGAGGAGCAUGUGGUUUAAUUCGAUGAUACGCGAGGAACCUUACCUGGGCUUGAAAGUUAGUGAAUGGCGCAGAAACGCGUCAGGCCGAAAGGACACGAAACUAGGUGCUGCAUGGCUGUCGUCAGCUCGUGCCGUGAGGUGUUGGGUUAAG